AACGCCCAGGACUGCCAGGAAGCCAUUAUUACCCUUGAUGGCAGAAGCUCGGCCUUGCUGCAGAACCCUGCUGGUGGCCGGAUGGUUGUCGACAGCCAUGCCAUGGAAAUUUUAGAUGAAAGAAAGUUCGGAAAGUUCGGGACGUCGUGGGGAGGGUGUUCAACGCCCAGGACUGCCAGGGAGCCGUUAUAACCCUUGAUGGAAGAGGUUCAGCCUUGCUGCAGAACUCUGCUGGUGACUGGAUUGUUGUCGACAGCCAUGCCAAGGAUGUUUUAGGCGCCACUGACGUUGAUGGAAAGUCACGUCUUCUGAGGUUUCCCCCCUGAGUCACGUGUUGGCCUAUGACAGUGACAGUAAGACCUACACAGUACUCGCUGACAGGGUCCAAGGCCUAACCUUUUGAGCAGUCGUUCUGUAAGUCAAGAGGUGGCCUGUUACAGUGACAUGGCAGUUAGACCAACCCAGUACUCGCUGACAGGGUCAAAGGCCUAAUCUUAGGAGCUGUACACCGCCACUCCCAUCUUCGUAUGGGGCCAGUUCACCAGAGAGUAGACUUGUGACUUGGCUUUCCCACCAAAACACUCUGGUACACAGUGCAAAUCUCGAAGGCAUCCACUCCGUUUGUGACUUUGCUUUGCCAUCAAAACACUUCAGCGCACAGUGCACCUGGGUGAUAUUCAUCGCCAUUGUUGCCAGUGCAGUCGUUCCUGUCCGUCCUCGUGACGUGACAUGGGGGACCGUCUUCAUGGUGCCAUCCUCUGCUGGAUGGUAAGCGGCUUGCUUCAACAACCAUCUGGCAGCAGAUGGCCUGUGACAAUGGUGCAGCCGAGUCUGCCAGAAGCAGGGACUUCUGUACUCGGCAGAAGGCACUCGAACAAACAUCUGGGAGCAGUCGAGUUCGACUGUCUGGUGCAGCCGUGUCUGUGAGAUGCAGGGACUUCUGUAGCCUGGCAGCAUGGACUGGAACAAACAUCUGGGAGCAGUGGAGGUAGACUGUCUGCUGCAGCAGGGACAUCAGCCAUAUGUAGUGUGUCUUCUCUCUCUUUUUUCAUGGCAUCAGAGAGCCGUCCUGAAAACAGUGUACCUUAGCCUUACAUGAUGGCAAUCAACAGUGUGAAUAUAAACUGAAGG